UCAGGCCUAACACAUGCAAGUCCAGCGGGGUUUUCGGACAUAGCGGCGGACGGGUGAGUAAUGCGUAGGAAGCUACCCGACAGAGGGGGAUACCAGUUGGAAACGACUGUUAAUACCGCAUAAUGUCUACGGACCAAAGUGUGGGACCUUCGGGCCACAGGCUGUCGGAUGCGCCUACGUGGAAUUAGCUAGUUGGUGAGGUAAUGGCUGAGCAAGGCGACGAUCCCUAGCUGGUGUGAGAGGAUGAUCAGCCACACUUGUUUUGGGGCACGGUGGAGACUCCUACGGGAGGCAGCAGUGGGGAAUAUUGGACAAUGGGCGCG
rnacentral:rRNA from 1 species